rnacentral:rRNA from 1 species
AACGAACGCUGGCGGCAGGCUUAACACAUGCAAGUCGAACGCAUCCUUCGGGGUGAGUGGCAGACGGGUGAGUAACGCGUGGGAACGUGCCCUUCAGUUCGGGAUAACCCAGGGAAACUUGGGCUAAUACCGGAUACGUGCGAGAGCAGAAAGAUUUAUCGCUGAAGGAUCGGCCCGCGUCUGAUUAGCUAGUUGGUGGGGUAAUGGCCCACCAAGGCGACGAUCAGUAGCUGGUCUGAGAGGAUGAUCAGCCACAUUGGGACUGAGACACGGCCCAAACUCCUACGGGAGGCAGCAGUGGGGAAUAUUGGACAAUGGGCGCAAGCCUGAUCCAGCCAUGCCGCGUGAGUGAUGAAGGCCUUAGGGUUGUAAACCUCUUUUAGUAGGGAAGAAGCGGAAGUGACGGUACCUGCAGAAAAAGCACCGGCUAACUACGUGCCAGCAGCCGCCGCGG